rnacentral:rRNA from 1 species
AGAGGAAAAGACUACCGGAUUCCCCUAGUAACUGCGAGUGAAGAGGGAUUAGCCCAGCACCGAAGCCUGCGGUCAUUUGACUGCUAGGCAAUGUGGUGUUUAGGUUGGUUCUUGGCAUUACUGCUCCACCCUAAGUCCAGCAAUGAGUACGGCUUACUGGAUUGGCCCAUUGAGGGUGAAAGGCCCGUGUGGGUGGAGACCCAGAUUGUCAGUUUUGCCCUGAAUUAACCUUGGAGUCGGGUUGUUUGUGAAUGCAGCCCAAAGUGGGUGGUAAACUCCAUCUAAGGCUAAAUACUGGCACGAGUCCGAUAGCGAACAAGUACCGUGAGGGAAAGUUGAAAAGUACUCUGAAGAGAGAGA